rnacentral:rRNA from 1 species
AUUGAACGCUGGCGGCAUGCCUUACACAUGCAAGUCGAACGGUAGCGGGCCUUCGGGUGCCGACGAGUGGCGAACGGGUGAGUAAUGCAUCGGAACGUACCUUUCAGUGGGGGAUAACGUAGCGAAAGUUACGCUAAUACCGCAUAUUCUGUGAGCAGGAAAGCAGGGGAUCGCAAGACCUUGCGCUGAUUGAGCGGCCGAUGUCAGAUUAGCUAGUUGGUGAGGUAAGGGCUCACCAAGGCGACGAUCUGUAGCGGGUCUGAGAGGAUGAUCCGGCACACUGGAACUGAGACACGGUCCAGACUCCUACGGGAGGCAGAAGUGGGGAAUUUUGGACAAUGGGGGCAACCCUGAUCCAGCCAUGCCGCGUGAGUGAAGAAGGCCUUCGGGUUGUAAAGCUCUUUCGGCCGGGAAGAAAUCGUAUGGGCUAAUACCCUGUGCGGAUGACGGUACCGGCAUAAGAAGCACCGGCUAACUACGUGCCAGCCGCCGCAGUAACAC